UACGUAGGCAGCAAGCGUUGUUCGGAGUUACUGGGCGUAAAGGGUGUGUAGGCGGCUUCGUAAGUUCGGUGUGAAAUCUCCUGGCUUAACUGGGAGGGUGCGCCGAAAACUGCGGAGCUGGAGCGCAGGAGAGGAAAGCAGAAUUCCUGGUGUAGCGGUGAAAUGCGUAGAUAUCGUAAGGAAGACCAGUGGCGAAGGCGGGUCUCUGGACAGUUCCUGACGCUGAGGGCACGAAGGC
rnacentral:rRNA from 1 species